GAAAAACUGUUCAGCACCAAAGACUCCGGCGUGCCUCGCGCUGCUGCUGCUGCUGCUGCUGUUAUUGUUAUUAGACGUUUCUGACUUCACGUUCACCUGAUGCGUGUUUGGCGCAGAUCUGAGGGCGCCGUGCGCCUCGGAGAUGGUGAUAGAAGAUGAUACAGCUGCCUGAACUCAUUUAACCAGAAAAUAGACUUUAUGCAUCUUUAUAGAAUAUUUUAAAUCAUAGAAUAAGAAUAUGGGGGGUCAAGCAGCGACAUAAAGUUGAGAGAAAAGCACAUUUAUAAAACGUCUUUAUUUCGCUUACACCGAAGCAAAGUGAUUCAUUUACAGAUCCAACACGAGCUCGGCGGUGGAUGUGUUUUUCUCGUGUAUUCGGGGCUCUUGUGUGUGAUUUCUCCCUCCUGUCUCACAUUAACUCGCCUCUUUGUUUUCCAGAUGCUGCAGCCGGCUCCUGCAGAGCACGGCUCGUCUCUCUUGGCCUCUCCGGCCCCUCUGAGCUUUAUCUGCGCUUCCCAAGUGACCAAGAGACCAGCCAGUGGAUUAACAUAAAAAUCUUAUUCCGGGGGAUAAGAUUAGGAAACAUAUUACCCUCAAACGCGGCCUUGGCACGGGCGAGAGCCAGGCAAGGAAUCAAUUACUAAAUUACUCCAACCUCUAAGUCGACAUUAACGCAGAGAAAUGCCAUCGACCGGUUCUGAAAUAAGAUUUCGCAAAGAUGUGAUCAUUAAAUCUCUUGCCAGUGUUCAAGAAUUUGAUUCAUAAAAUCGUCUGAAAUGAGAUGGAAUUAAAUUCUUAUCGGAGCUCUUGUCAUCGUUUCAUCCCGCGCUGUUUAACGUUGGUCAAUGGCCUUCAUGAGAUUUCCCCUGUAAAUAAACUUAGUAAUUGAAUCCGCCUCUCCACGACACAUUGUUUGGUUGUUAUUAAUUUAUUGCAGCCGUGCGGGCGGACGGAUGGGAGCGCGCUGCCGGCCUGAGUGCGGCCGGGCUGCUGCUGCUGCUGCUGCUGCUGCUGCUGCUGCUGUGAGGUCCUCUCUAACGUUUUCAUGCACAAACACCAAAACCAGAGUGUGUUUUUGGACGAACUUGUGGUGAGGAGGAGGAGGAGGAGGAGGAGCAGGGUAUCUGAAACAUCAUCUGUCAAUUUUUCCUCUUUUUUUUUUUUUUUUUGGCCUCCUGCGUUUCAGCCCCAGUGGGGUCAGGGCAUAUUUUAUUUAGCAUAGUCUGCUGGCAUCACCCCCUCCCCUCCUGCGCAUUAGCAAUUGACAAUUAUUAGCCUGAGCCUCAUAAAUCAGCUGCGUGACCCGUUAUUAUUGUUGAAUUGAAUAGCUGUUGGGGAAGUGAGGGUCAGUGUCAUUAACUCGCCCCCGUCCCUCACCCCUCCUCCCCCUCCUCUCUCUUCCACCACCCUCGGGCCCCCUGAAGGCAUUUGGCCCUCUAUACAAGGACCUGCUGGCUAAUAAUGCCGUGUGGUCGGCCCUAAAAGCUUAAUCACACAUGCAUUAAGCGGCAGACAGCGGCCUUUUGUGCGCACGUAGCUUUACUGGAAUUAAGCGAUUAAUGGUCAUCUGAGCGGCAGGCGACAAGGCGGCGCAUCGAGGAUGAUGGAGCGGUUUUUAAUGUCAGAAACGAGGGAGAGGGGGAUCGGGCCAGUGAGAGCGGAGGCGUCAGGGUGAAAGGAAGGAAGGAAGGAGGAGGAGGAGACGGAGGAGACGGAGGAGUGGGCAGCAAUUACAGUAGGCCGUGUCUCCCAAUCCAUCAUAAAACGUCAAGGUCAUUGUGAGUCAUAUUGAUUAUUAUAGGACGCUUUGUGAUGUUUAUUACGCCCCCUGCUUCUCCCGCAUUACAAUAUGCACGCGGCAGCAUGUAAACACCUGCUAUCACUUCUAAAGCGGCUCGUUUGUCCCGCCUCGCGCCUCAUCUCAGAUUCUUUUGAUGUGAGCACGUGGCUCAGUUGUACAGGAGACGUUUGAUGUUUUUGCCCCGCAGCCGCCAUCUGCAUAAACCACCAGGCUGCUCACAUGAAUUAUUAUCUCCAUAAAGUCAAAGAGUCCAAACAACCAUCACAAGAGGCGCGCAGCAGGACGGAGGCAGCCAGACUCGAUCAAUCAAUAACUGAACAGCCCUUUAUCAAUCUCAUGAAUAAUAUGAUGACGUCACAUCGUUCACCUGCUCUUUUAUCACAGUCACUGUCUCACCCUCACAGGUGUGUGUGUGUGUGUGUGUGUGUGUGUGUGUGUGUGUGUGUGUGUGUGUGUGUGUGUGUGUGUGAGUUCUGCAGGUGUUCCUUCAGGCUUCUUUUCCUCCUGAUAGUGAACUUGGUCUGCUCACACUGCGUCCUGCAGGCCUGCUGACCUGCUGGAAAUAGUCAGCGAACCAGUGAUUCAGGUCCAAGCUGAGACCAGUAUGUUUCUCAGCUCAGCAGAGCAGUAUUUGGAUACAGACUUCUGCUUCUGCAUAUGGAGGAUUAUCACCACUGAUAUUCAGUCAUGGAAGUCACAGUGUGGCGUGUUCUCUCUCUCUCCAUCACACAGGAAACCAUCCAUACUGAUGUCAGAGUGUGAUUUAUACUGCUGUGACCGCCGUCCAAUGGCAGCGCCUGUUGAUCAAUCAAACCUAAUUUGAUUGGAUAGAAUCCUUAAAGAACAGCCAGAUGGGAGCCAUCAGAGCCGGUCUGUCCACUGCAGGCUCUGAUUUACUUCCUGUUCCCAGAAGGCCGCUCUCUGAUGUCUGAGCGAUGACACUGCAGCGCAGAGCUGGAAGAGAUAGAGUCGGUAUUCCUGCUGAAGUCGACUCAUGGAUGGUGAAGGCGCUGGUCUGGGCAGAGCGUCUGGGAGGAGCAGAAGGAGAGCCAUUAGCCCCGCAGUAAUCAGAUUAGAGCGACGUUAAAGGGGGAUGUGAAUUUAAACAGCCAGCAGAGAGAAGAAGAGGAAAAGUUGGAGGUGUUAUUAAGUUCAAGGUAAUCUAAAUCCAGCGGACACGACCAGACCAGCACCGACUGAUGGAUGGAUAAAGUUAGCAGCUGCACAUAGUGGAUCGUUUAGCAGCUAAAGAGUGUCAUUCUGUGCUAACGAGCCCAUAGAGAAGGGUCAGUACAUCACUGGAUCACACUUUGGGCCAGACUGUGGUGCUGGUUGUUUUCAAGUCCAAGGGAGAUUCUUGAAGAAACACAGUGAAACCUAAAAUAUUUACAUGAUCGUUCAGCUUCAUCAGCAGAACUCAGUCGGACCUGCCUCGUCUGAUCACAGUAUUAUCAGCCUGUCAGUCAUUUGGUGAAGCAGCUACUCUGAAGUGUACGAGGUGACUCAGAUCACCUGUGUGCAGGUUGCAGAGACUCCUAAGAACUGAGAGUCCACAGCUUGGGCAGUUCCCUCUGAGCCAAUCACAGAGUGAGGACGCCCGUUUGUGGAGGUUCAAGAGAGGUGGGGAGCGACACCCAGUGGUGACGGUGGAAGUUGACGAUGAAGGUUGAAGCAGGAUAUUGACCUUGAAACUGGUUUGUCCUGUGUUCAGUUUGAAGGGAGUGAACUACAACUUCUUGGAGUUUGAGGAGGAUGUCAAACAGCAUUCUGGGAAAUGUAGGAAGGCAAAGCAAGCUGGGGAAAUAAAAACACUUCAUUAUUAAAAUGAGGAUGGCAGAUUUAUAACAUCUGACAGAGCGUCUCGGGUCAGAACACCUGAACAUGUUGAUAUUCCCACACGCAGCCGUAUAAUCACACGUACAAACAUGUUGUUCUCCUCCUUGUUCUGGGCCAGAGGUCCAGUCAGUGACCCUCUGCCCUCCUCACACCACCACCACCACCACCACCCGUCCCUUUGCCCUGCUCCCCACCCGAAUGCUGAGGCAUCACUGCUCCUGAGCACACAGUCCUGUAGCACCCCUGACCCCAUGCUGUCCCCCAUUAUAGAGCAGUCAGAAAGCUUUUAGGGGCUCCGGUAACGCUGAAAGAUUGAUGGCGCAAAAUGGGGUGGAGGAGGGGGAAGAGCAGGUGGUUAAGAAGAGAAUGUCCUGCUUAAUGGGUUGCCAGGAAUGUAAUUCAAUAAUUAUGAAAAGUGACUCAGGAGAGCUGGCUGGAUGGAUGGAUGCUACUGAGGGAAGCAGAGAGGCUGUCGGCCUCCACACAUGCCGGAGCAUCCUCGUCCUCCUGGACCGGCAGCAGCAGGUGAACACAUUUCUCUCUCAGGUUUUCAGUGGGGAUUCAAAGGUAACAGCAAAGAGGUGCAAAGUGGGAGGAGCUAGUUUUGCAGCCAUGUAUUGUCUCCUUGGACCUGAGGAUGCGACCUGUCCUGCAGGUGGAGCACUGCUGUGUCCUGGAUCUAAUUCUUCCCAGCCGAGUCACCAGGAUGUCAUGCUAGCAGCUAACGUUUCAGCAAACCUCAGAUAUGUUGAAGGUCGACGAUUGUGAGCUUAUCGGCCUCCUGUCACAUCAGAAUGUAGAGGGGGUGGUGUUGGUGGUGGCAGAACUGCAGUUUGGGUCAGACCACUAUAUCUGUUAGGAGACCUGAUGUCUCCAACCCUCUUGUCUCUAUUCAUAUAUAUCUGAAUAUUGAUACUGAAUUUUUUUGCAGUGAUCACUCAAAUGCUUUUAUAAAACACACUUGUGACAAAUGCGUGCUGGAGGCAGGAUCAGGUAAUAAAACAUUAUUUACAGCGGACUGAAACAGUCAACUCAGCGAAACUAACUAUUUUAAAAAAAGCAUAAUUUUCUACAUUGUGACCUUUAAAACCUAAAAGUUGUCGUACCUGCAGAUAUCGACAAGAUAUACACCGAUACUGUCUGUGAGAACAAACAGGCUUCAAACUACAGCUGGAAGACGUCCUGAGGAUGUUUGAUGAUCUCCGUUUCUGAUCGCAGCCACCAAAUCCAAAGCUUUGAGCCUUGUUAACCCCAACUAAAUGGUUUUAUUGUAUAAACAGAGCAGAGCAUGAGGACAGCACUGUGACAAGAGACAACGUUCAAGUUAAUGUGAAGUUGCAACAUAAAGAAACUUUUAGUUUGAUCUCAUCUGUGCUUUUGUAGAAAGACCCUGAAAUAACACGAGGCCACAAAAUGGUCCAAACCAGAAAACAAAGAGAAACAUUAUCUGAGCGUUGGGAUUCAAUCUCUAUUAAGCUGGUGUCACUUUCUUUAACAAGGCCUAAAAUUGGCCAUCAUUUUCUUCUUAACAAAUAUAAUUGUGUUUAGUUUUCACGCUUUGGCAAAGGUGACACUCGCUGCUGUUUCCCCAAUUCAGACUCCCACAGUUUGGUUUAGAUGUCGAGGAGAAAACGAGACGUGUACACACUGUCAAACUGAGGAUUUCACAAAAGACAAGAAACCAAAGCCGUGAGCAAUAACGUUUUAUUGGCCCGUCACACAUAAUUAAAAAUAGAGUUCCUACAAGCAGCACAGCUGCUGGUGUACUUUUGUAUUUCUACUGUUAUUUCUCAUUUGUAAAUGUCUUAAUGCCAAACAGAGAAUCCCGGCUGCACUGCUGCUGCUUCAAAAUCACAUUUCAGGAUGGAUUUCUUUAGCUGUCCAUGUUUACUGUCUGACUUCUCUGAUCCAAUUAAAGCUAUUGGUUUGCCUCAAA